UGCUUGAGUCCCAAGUCAGAGCCCUCC
rnacentral:misc_RNA from 1 species